rnacentral:rRNA from 1 species
AUUGAACGCUGGCGGCGUGCUUAACACAUGCAAGUCGAGCGGCAGCGCGGUAGCAAUACUGGCGGCGAGCGGCGAACGGGUGAGUAAUGCUUCGGAAUCUUCCUAGUAGUGGGGAAUAACCUGGGGAAACUCAGGCUAAUACCGCAUACGAACUACGGUUGAAAGCAGGGGAUCGCAAGACCUUGCGCUAUUAGAUGAGCCGAAGUCGGAUUAGCUAGUUGGUGAGGUAAAGGCUCACCAAGGCGACGAUCCGUAGCUGUUCUGAGAGGACGGACCGUCACACUGGGACUGAGACACGGCCCAGACUCCUACGGGAGGCAGCAGUGGGGAAUAUUGGACAAUGGGGGCAACCCUGAUCCAGCGACGCCGCGUGUGUGAAGAAGGCCUGCGGGUUGUAAAGCACUUUUAGUGGGGAGCGAAAAGGCCCUUUCUAAUACAAGGGGCUCAUGACGGUACCGUAAGAAUAAGCACCGGCUAACUACGUGCCAGCCGCCGCAGUAA